AAAACACCAUUUUUUGUUUUAAUGUUGUUUUCACUUUUUUAUCUUAGUUGUUGUCAAUAGUUUACAUAAACAAUCUCAAAGAGUUGAUUUCUGCUUUUACACCUGCUAAUGCUGUCGUGAGUACUCAAAAUUUUAGGAAGUUCUAUUGCUUUGAUUGAUCACUAUGGAAAAUUUCAAGUCAAAUGUAUUAUCAGUUCAAAAGUUAUUCAAAUGUCAAUAAUACUAUCAUUUUCGGUGCCAUUUCGCCGCAAAUUUC